rnacentral:snRNA from 1 species
GUACCUUUCUCAGCCUUUUGGCUGAAAUUACGUGUAGUAUUUGUUCUUGUUAGUUUAAUCUCUAGGGGGAGAGUCUAUCAAAAUAGCUUGAUACUAGGGUUCUCGUGCGUCGCACCCCAUUGAAUCUAGUCUUUGAAAUUUAUAGCUCAAGCCCAAUGGUCCCUUGACUUUCGACUAUGUGGUGUGGCCUAAGCUUGCUCGUUGUGCCACGUAUCUGAU